rnacentral:snRNA from 1 species
AUCACUUCUCGGCCUUUUGGCUAAGAUCAAGUGUAUCUUUUCCUAUCAGUUUAAUAUCCGAUAUGGCCUCUACCCGAGGACAAUAUAUUAAAUGGAUUUUUGGAGCACGAGUUGGGAUAGCACCUUGCUACGUCCACUCCACGCAUCCACCUCUUUGCAGUACCUCCAGGAACGGUGCACCAGAA